rnacentral:tRNA from 1 species
GGGUCUUUAGCUCAGUUGGUUAGAGCGUGCGCUUGAUAAGCGCAAGGUCGGUAGUUCAAGCCUACUAAGACCCACCA